rnacentral:rRNA from 1 species
GAUGAACGCUGGCGGCGUGCUUAACACAUGCAAGUCGAACGGAAAGGCCCAAGCUUGCUUGGGUACUCGAGUGGCGAACGGGUGAGUAACACGUGGGUGAUCUGCCCUGCACUUCGGGAUAAGCCUGGGAAACUGGGUCUAAUACCGGAUAGGACCACUUCCUGGAUGUUGUGGUGGAAAGUUUUUUCGGUGUGGGAUGAGCUCGCGGCCUAUCAGCUUGUUGGUGGGGUAAUGGCCUACCAAGGCGUCGACGGGUAGCCGGCCUGGGAGGGUGUACGGCCACAUUGGGACUGAGAUACGGCCCAGACUCCUACGGGGGGCAACAGUGGGGGAUAUUGCACAAUGGGCGCGAGCCUGAUGCAGCGACGCCGCGUGGGGGAUGACGGCCUUCGGGUUGUAAACUCCUUUCGCUAGGGACGAAGCGUUUUGUGACGGUACCUGGAGAAGAAGCACCGGCUAACUACGUG